rnacentral:rRNA from 9 species
AAAAGAAGUAGGUAGCUUAACCUUCGGGAGGGCGCUUACCACUUUGUGAUUCAUGACUGGGGUGAAGUCGUAACAAGGUAACCGUAGGGGAACCUGCGGUUGGAUCACCUCCUUACCUUAAAGAA